rnacentral:rRNA from 1 species
AUUGAACGCUGGCGGCAUGCUUUACACAUGCAAGUCGAACGGCAGCACAGGGAGCUUGCUCCUGGGUGGCGAGUGGCGAACGGGUGAGUAAUGUAUCGGAACGUGCCUGGUAGUGGGGGAUAACUACUCGAAAGAGUGGCUAAUACCGCAUGAGAUCUUUGGAUGAAAGCGGGGGACCUUCGGGCCUCGUGCUACUGGAGCGGCCGAUAUCAGAUUAGGUUGUUGGUGGGGUAAAGGCCUACCAAGCCUGCGAUCUGUAGCUGGUCUGAGAGGACGACCAGCCACACUGGGACUGAGACACGGCCCAGACUCCUACGGGAGGCAGCAGUGGGGAAUUUUGGACAAUGGGCGCAAGCCUGAUCCAGCAAUGCCGCGUGCAGGACGAAGGCCUUCGGGUUGUAAACUGCUUUUGUACAGAACGAAAAGUCUCUGGCUAAUAUCUAGAGAUCAUGACGGUACUGUAAGAAUAAGCACCAGCUAACUACGUG